GACGUAGGGCGCGAGCGUUGUCCGGAUUUAUUGGGCGUAAAGAGCUCGUAGGCGGUCUGUCGCGUCUGCUGUGAAAACCCGAGGCUCAACCUCGGGCCUGCAGUGGGUACGGGCAGACUAGAGUGCGGUAGGGGAGAAUGGAAUUCCUGGUGUAGCGGUGGAAUGCGCAGAUAUCAGGAGGAACACCGAUGGCGAAGGCAGUUCUCUGGGCCGUAACUGACGCUGAGGAGCGAAAGCGUGGGGAGCAAACAGG
rnacentral:rRNA from 1 species